rnacentral:misc_RNA from 1 species
UCUUGUACACCCGCCCGUCACACCAUGAGAGUUUGUAACACCCGAAGCCGGUGGCGUAACCCUUUUAGGGAGCGAGCCGUCUAAGGUGGGACAAAUGAUUAGGGUGAAGUCGUAACAAGGUAGCCGUAGGAGAACCUGCGGCUGGAUCACCUCCUUUCUAAGGAAACAGACUGAAAGUCUGACGGAAACCUGCACACACGAAACUUU